rnacentral:rRNA from 1 species
GAUGAACGCUGGCGGCGUGCCUAAUACAUGCAAGUCGAGCGAACAGACGAGGAGCUUGCUCCUCUGACGUUAGCGGCGGACGGGUGAGUAACACGUGGAUAACCUACCUAUAAGACUGGGAUAACUUCGGGAAACCGGAGCUAAUACCGGAUAAUAUAUUGAACCGCAUGGUUCAAUAGUGAAAGACGGUUUUGCUGUCACUUAUAGAUGGAUCCGCGCCGCAUUAGCUAGUUGGUAAGGUAACGGCUUACCAAGGCAACGAUGCGUAGCCGACCUGAGAGGGGAAUCGGCCCCACUGGAACUGAGACCCGGUCCAGACCCCCACGGGAGGCAGAAGGGGGGAAUCUUCCGCAAGGGGCGAAAGCCUGAAGGAGCAACGCCGGGUGAGUGAAGAAGGUUUUGGGAUCGUAAAACUUUGUUUUUGGGGAAAAAAAAAUGUGAAAGUAACUAUGCACGUUUUGACGGUACCAAAUAAGAAAGCCACGGCAAACUACGU